rnacentral:tRNA from 1 species
GCCGAAGUGGUGGAACUGGUAGACACGCACGUUUCAGGGGCGUGUGGCCGAAAGGCCGUGUGGGUUCGAAUCCCACCUUCGGCACCU